UACGUAGGGUGCGAGCGUUGUCCGGAAUUAUUGGGCGUAAAGGGCUCGUAGGCGGUCUGUCGCGUCGGGAGUGAAAACUCAGGGCUUAACCCUGAGCCUGCUUCCGAUACGGGCAGACUAGAGGUAUGCAGGGGAGAACGGAAUUCCUGGUGUAGCGGUGGAAUGCGCAGAUACCAGGAGGAACACCAGUAGCGAAGGCGGCACUCUGGGCCGGUACUGACGCUGAGGAGCGAAAGCGUGGGGAGCGAACAGG
rnacentral:rRNA from 1 species